CGCGAAUAUGUCCCGUUCUACGAAGUUCAGGCGAACGUGUUUUGUUGUAGAUUUUACGAACACUCCUGCAAACACGGCAAACGCUCCAGAAGCAGUGAAUUUUUACAGAUUCCCAGCGUGGGCCCACUUUGGUGAGCGCCGUCAAACGUGGAUCCGCUUGGUCCGUAGGCAGAGGUUGAAGAAAAGGCGCGCACAUGCGCCAGGGCCCUCUUCGAGGACUACCCCUGCUGCACCAACCGUGGGCAAGCCUACGGACCAGCUGUUGCGCAAUGCAGCCAGCGGCGGCCAAGAUGAGGGAGCCCAGGAAUUUUUUGAACAGAACACAAGAGAGGUAUGACAGGUCACAUACUGCAUAUGCAGCUAUGUAAAGUAUUUAAAUGAAUUAUGCUUGCAUGUUCUGCAUUUAAAUGAAUGAUGGGAGGAUGUCCCUGGCUAAACAAUGUCUUUCCCACGAUCUCUUCUUUUGCUG